CCUUACAAGUAGUAGCAUGGAGUGGUUUAUAGGGUUUAGAACCAUGACUUGAACCUCUAUCUCCUUCUCCACCAUCACACCUUCCACCAUGACCGAUCGUGACCGCGACCGAGACCGUGACCGAACUCGCGACAGAGAAAGAGAACGAAGAAGAGAUAAGGACGAUCGUGACCGAGACAGAGACCGAGCACGCAGCAAGAGAUCUCGCUCGCGUUCGCCUGACCGUGGCCGCUCCCGCCACGCGCGCUCUCCCUCUCCCAGCGAGCGCUCCCACCGCCGGCGGCAUCACCGGACGCCGUCCCCCGACCCGCCGCGGAAGCGCCACCGGAGAGACUCGGCGGAGGAGGAUCACAAGGAGACGAAGAAAGCGGUGUCGGACUUCGUGGACGGCAUCGUGAAGGAGCAGCAGCAGAAGGAGAACGGAGACGGAGGAGAAGGAGAAGCUGAGGGGAGCGAGGAUGAGUUGGAGAUAAUGAAGAUGUUUGGGAUUCCCACCGGAUUUGACUCCACCAAGGGGAAACCGGUUCCCGGUGCUGACGUCAGCGGCGUCAGAGCCGUCACCAAGCGCCAGCCGCGCCAGUACAUGAACCGCCGCGGCGGAUUUAAUCGCCCAUUGCCUGCUGAGAGGAAUCGCUAGGGUUUUCUUUUUUUCAGUAAUGCAGGUUGCUAACAGACUAUUGAUCAAAGGAUUGGCAGGCAUGUUGGAUGGAAGUUGUGAGUUAUUAGCAGUAGGGAAUGUGCAGUAUUUGUUAUUUAUGGCUGAUUGUAGAAGAACCUUAUCUUUUUCAAAGCCUUGACUAAGAUUGGAGACUGUAAAGAGAUUUCAAUUACAAGUGGUUAGACUGUGGAACAUAAGACGAGUAAUUUCCUUUGGUGGUAGACGGUGGUUAAUCAUGUGGAAUGUUGGAUCCAGAAACCCUUGGUGGGACCCAAAAUGAAAGCUCGCGAGCGUUCCACCAGUUACUUGUGUCGUUCAUUUAAUACCCCGUGCUACCUUCAGCUCAAUAUAUCCUGCGUAAUUGGUGUUAGGCGUGCUUUUAUUUUUUUAUCCAUCUACUAAUUGUCUAGUUACAUUCAUAGAAUUUGUCAAAUUUUCAUGCGGUAUGUACAUUUAGCUGCACGCCUUACGCCUUGGGAAUUGGGAUGCACAUGCUUUAUGUAAUCAAGUGAUUCUGGAUUUCAAUAUCAUGCAUGGCCAAUAUCCGUGCGAGUUUGUUAACUCUGUCCUAAACUACUAGUUUUAAUGCUACUAGUAUAUCUAUGCUGAUACGCAUUUAAUGUACAAAA